rnacentral:lncRNA from 1 species
AGUCAAAUAUUUCCCCUACAGAUUGUCAUACAAUCCACACAUGCUACUAGCUACCAAUAGGUCAUGACACCGACACUUUAACUUAUACUACUAUUUGGGUGGAAAUACAAUUCCAACACUUCUACUACACAUCUUUUCCCUUAAGCAUGACAUCUGCAACAUAAAUUUCUGAAAAGGGCCGAAUAUACUCAAUACAGAAGGCUAAAAAGCAUGAUUUCAUCAAGAUCAAGGUUCACACUAGAACCAAUACACUCUGAAGCAAUAACGGACUCUUCUCAAGUCCUUGCACAA